UACGUAGGGUGCAAGCGUUGUCCGGAAUUAUUGGGCGUAAAGAGCUCGUAGGCGGUUUGUCGCGUCUGCUGUGAAAACUCGGGGCUUAACUCCGGGCCUGCAGUGGGUACGGGCAGACUAGAGUGCGGUAGGGGAGACUGGAAUUCCUGGUGUAGCGGUGAAAUGCGCAGAUAUCAGGAGGAACACCGGUGGCGAAGGCGGCCUGCUGGGACAGUGCUGACGCUGAGGCGCGACAGCGUGGGGAGCAAACAGG
rnacentral:rRNA from 1 species